AGAUUGACGCUGGCGGCAGGCUUAACACAUGCAAGUCGAGCGGGGGAAGGUAGCUUGCUACCGGACCUAGCGGCGGACGGGUGAGUAAUGCUUAGGAAUCUGCCUAUUAGUGGGGGACAACAUCUCGAAAGGGAUGCUAAUACCGCAUACGUCCUACGGGAGAAAGCAGGGGAUCUUCGGACCUUGCGCUAAUAGAUGAGCCUAAGUCGGAUUAGCUAGUUGGUGGGGUAAAGGCCUACCAAGGCGACGAUCUGUAGCGGGUCUGAGAGGAUGAUCCGCCACACUGGGACUGAGACACGGCCCAGACUCCUACGGGAGGCAGCAGUGGGGAAUAUUGGACAAUGGGGGGAACCCUGAUCCAGCCAUGCCGCGUGUGUGAAGAAGGCCUUAUGGUUGUAAAGCACUUUAAGCGAGGAGGAGGCUACUUUAGUUAAUACCUAGAGAUAGUGGACGUUACUCGCAGAAUAAGCACCGGCUAACUCUGUGCCAGCAGCCGCGGUAAUACAGAGGGUGCGAGCGUUAAUCGGAUUUACUGGGCGUAAAGCGUGCGUAGGCGGCUUAUUAAGUCGGAUGUGAAAUCCCCGAGCUUAACUUGGGAAUUGCAUUCGAUACUGGUGAGCUAGAGUAUGGGAGAGGAUGGUAGAAUUCCAGGUGUAGCGGUGAAAUGCGUAGAGAUCUGGAGGAAUACCGAUGGCGAAGGCAGCCAUCUGGCCUAAUACUGACGCUGAGGUACGAAAGCAUGGGGAGCAAACAGGAUUAGAUACCCUGGUAGUCCAUGCCGUAAACGAUGUCUACUAGCCGUUGGGGCCUUUGAGGCUUUAGUGGCGCAGCUAACGCGAUAAGUAGACCGCCUGGGGAGUACGGUCGCAAGACUAAAACUCAAAUGAAUUGACGGGGGCCCGCACAAGCGGUGGAGCAUGUGGUUUAAUUCGAUGCAACGCGAAGAACCUUACCUGGCCUUGACAUACUAGAAACUUUCCAGAGAUGGAUUGGUGCCUUCGGGAAUCUAGAUACAGGUGCUGCAUGGCUGUCGUCAGCUCGUGUCGUGAGAUGUUGGGUUAAGUCCCGCAACGAGCGCAACCCUUUUCCUUACUUGCCAGCAUUUCGGAUGGGAACUUUAAGGAUACUGCCAGUGACAAACUGGAGGAAGGCGGGGACGACGUCAAGUCAUCAUGGCCCUUACGGCCAGGGCUACACACGUGCUACAAUGGUCG
rnacentral:rRNA from 1 species